CCCUGCAUCCGAAAGUGAUCGUGGCUGCCUGUGCCCUGGUCAUUGGUGCUGCAGGGAAAGGAUGCGGAAAGACGUGUUCCGAGUUCCUGGGUCUAGCCUGACCCCUCCAGGUCCUGGAGCUUUCCUACA